rnacentral:sRNA from 1 species
AUGGCUGUCGUCAGCUCGUGUCGUGAGAUGUUGGGUUAAGUCCCGCAACGAGCGCAACCCUUACUUUUAGUUGCUACCAUUCAGUUGGGCACUCUAAAAGAACUGCCAGUGAUAAGCUGGAGGAAGGUGGGGAUGACGUCAAGUCCUCAUGGCCCUUACGUGUUGGGCUACACACGUGCUACAAUGGUAUUUACAAUGAGAUGCAAAGAGGCAACUCUAAGCAAACCCCAAAAAGAUACCUCAGUUCGGAUUGCACUCUGCAACUCGAGUGCAUGAAGCUGGAAUUACUAGUAAUCGUGGAUCAGCGCGCCACGGUGAAUACGUUCCCGGGUCUUGUACACACCGCCCGUCACACCAUGGAAGUUGGUUACACCUUAAGGCAAAGUGUAAAAUCUUUGACUACGGUACGAUCAGCGACUGGGGUGAAGUCGUAACAAGGUAGCCGUAGGGGAACCUGCGGCUGGAUCACCUCCUUUCUAAGGAAAUCGAAAAAUAUUAAAACAAUUAUUUUCGAUUUAAAAAAAACCGGUAAUGUGACCGUCCUCAUUUCUCUUCUUUUUAAUGUCUCUAAGGUAAAUCAAGGGGCCGGUAGCUCAGUUGGUUAGAGCGCACCCCUGAUAAGGGUGAGGUCGGAAGUUCGAAUCUUCCUCGGCCCACCAAUAUUAUGGGGGAUUAGCUCAGCUGGGAGAGCGCCUGAUUUGCAUUCAGGAGGCCAGCGGUUCGAUCCCGCUAUCCUCCACCAAAAUUUGAGACAUUUAGCUUUUUUAAAUUGUGAAUAUUAUUAUUAUCAAUAUCUAUAUCCGAUUGUUUUCAGAUAUUUUUUUGAAAACAAUCAAAACAAAAAUUUGAAUUUUACACAGAAAGUUUUUUUCUGUGCAUAAAUCAAGCGUUUAAGGGCGAUUGGCGGAUGCCUUGGCACUGUAAGACGAUGAAGGACGUGGUAUACUGCGAUAAGUUUCGGGGAGUUGUAUGCAAGCUUUGAUCCGUAAAUUUCCGAAUGGGGAAACCCGG